AUUGAACGCUGGCGGCAUGCUUUACACAUGCAAGUCGAACGGCAGCGCGGGCUUCGGCCUGGCGGCGAGUGGCGAACGGGUGAGUAAUACAUCGGAACGUGCCCAGUAGUGGGGGAUAGCUCGGCGAAAGCCGGAUUAAUACCGCAUACGACCUGAGGGUGAAAGCGGGGGAUCUUCGGACCUCGCGCUAUUGGAGCGGCCGAUGGCAGAUUAGCUAGUUGGUGGGGUAAAGGCCUACCAAGGCGACGAUCCGUAGCUGGUCUGAGAGGACGACCAGCCACACUGGGACUGAGACACGGCCCAGACUCCUACGGGAGGCAGCAGUGGGGAAUUUUGGACAAUGGGCGAAAGCCUGAUCCAGCAAUGCCGCGUGUGUGAUGAAGGCCUUCGGGUUGUAAAACACUUUUGGCGGGAACGAAAAGGACUGUGCCAAUACCACGGUUCGAUGACGGUACCCGCAGAAUAAGCACCGGCUAACUACGUG
rnacentral:rRNA from 1 species